GAACUACUCCAGUUAUGCACAAGUGUAGCAGAAAAGAACCUUGUCCAGAGAGUAUAUGAACCAUGGGACUAUCAGCAGUACUAGGAGGAGAAGAGCAGAUUCUGACAUCUGCUUCUGCGGCUUCAGGAAUGCACAAAGCCUGCCCUGUGAGACUAACUGAAAACAGACGGCUACAUAAUGAGUCCAGAGGGGUUUAUGGAGCAAAGGGGUUUAUGGAAUAAUGAGGAAAUCUCAUACUUGAUGGAAGCCUGGUCAAAAAUAGUAUCAAGGACCUUGUGAAGCAGCACUUUUACUUAUGCAUUUUGUAUACCUAUAGCAGAGAGCAGUAAGAGCACAGUCCACCAUAAUCCAAAACAGCCCAAGGACCAAAAUCGUACCGGUCUAACUCCAUUGACUUUGAUAAAUUUGCAUCAAACUUCCAGCCCAUGCGAGCUAACUAGCUGAAGUCUCAGUCCUGUGAGCUGCUGAACACUCUCUACUACAGAGUGCUGAAUUCAGUGGGAACUGAAUGGACACAGCAGCUUGUAGGAGACUCUCAAACACACACAACAAAUUGGACAAUGGUUUAGGCCCAGGAAAAUGUAGAGAUAAAGGAGUAAGUUUUAAAGCAGUGAUUCUCAACCAUGGUGCUGGGGCAGCUUGGGAUGCUACCAGAUCCUUUGAAGGGUGCCCCCCCCCAAAGUGUGAAGAGAUAGGCAAAUAAACCAGGCUCAGGCUUGUCCCUGUCUGGACUAUCUCUCAC